rnacentral:lncRNA from 1 species
CUUGAUUCUCUCCCUUGGAUCUUAGGAAGUAAACAACAGUACUGUAUUUUCACCCACCUCCCCGAACUCAGCUUUAUUUGUGCUAGAAGAGGUGAUUUUAUUCAACUAGUUAAUUUCAGUGCAGGUUGCUGUAAACAGGAAAUAAUAUGUUAUUUAUCAUAGUAAGACAAAAAAAAUUUGAAGUGAAUGACUUGUUGGGUCUAUGCAAACACCUCAUCCUACCUCAGAAGCAAUCCUAAGAAAUUAAUACUUACUUAGCUUUCUUUUUAGGAAGGCCCUAAUACAAGGCAUCUUUCUGUUUUUUUGUUUUGUUUUGUUUUGUUUUGUUUUUUUGAGUGUUACAGCCUGGACUGGCCAGCAAGACAGAAAUUUCUUCUUCCUAAAAAUGUGUAAUGUCAAAUAACCAUUAUCAACCCUAUCUAUGUUAAUGUUCGCACACUCAUGAAUGGGGAAAUGUAGGGCUCAUGGUAAUAAAUCAAUAAUGACAACAAUGAACAUUUAAGUCCUUAUUAUGUGUCAAAUAGUUUACAUUAAUUAACUCGGUUCUCACAACAACCUAAGAAGUAAUAAUGGUUAGCCACUAAAUAUGAUAAUGUAGAAGAAAAUAAUGGAAAGUAAAUAAAUAAUGUGAAAUCUAUAAGAUACACAUCCAUGAUCUCACAUCCCCAAAAGUAGCUGUACCUUUUUCAGUUUUUUUCCUUUUACUUCCCUGGAAUUUGUAAAUAUCUUUUCAGCUCUAAACAGCUAAUACAAUAAACACUUUUAAUCUAUUUUGGCAGGCACUGUUUUUGGUACUAUGGGGGACACAGGAAUGAGUAAGAGAGGUCCUAAAUUCCAUGCUGAUACUACAUAUUGCUGAUAAUCAGAUCAAUUUCAUAAAGUAUUACAGUUCUGGCCAUAUAGAAAGGGUUCUAGUUUUAUCUAUGAAAUUUCUCUUAAUUGUCUAUAGCACUGAUACAAUCUUACAAAGCUGCCUAUGACAUCUUAUCUUGCACAUGCACUGCAGCAAGAAGGCUGAUGCUCAGUAUGUGGAACGUCUGGAGUGAUCAUCUCAAAGCCUUUGUCACAUAACUUGCUGAGUUUUCUGAUAUUCUGAUAGUAGUUAUAAGAUGCCUGAGUAACUCAUGAAAUCUUAUGGAUUUUUAUCUCACUUUAUAGAUUUAAUGACCUCCACCAUCUCUAAGAACAAGCAGCUAUUUCUGUAGAGAAAGAUCAUCUUUGGAUAACAAUACAUGAUUUUAGGCUCUAAAAGUUAAAACGUGUUUGUAACGUUGAUAUUAUGCAGAGGUCUUGACAGAACUUGGCAGUCUCUGAGGCUACAGAGAAGUGUGAAAAAGAGCAUAGAGAUUUCAGAAGGAGGCAGAUUCAGUCAGACGUACUGAAUCCCGUUUGAUCUCAACUCAGGCACACUCCAGAUGGACGGAGCAGGAAAACCCUUAGUGAAACCUGCCUCUGCAGGUUGAUGGCUUGGGAGGAAAGGCAUUAUGGAAAAUGAUUAGUUUAUGGAAAAAAUAAAUAAACAAGACUGGUCAGAAAGACUGUGAAAGAAGAACUAUAAAGGGAGAUGAAUCCAAGCAGAUAUUUAGACAUAUCAAGCCUAAUAAUGGAAGUGUGGCACUGGAAUCACGAGACUGACCAAUGGAACAGAAAGUUAAGAAACAGACCCGAAAACAUGAGAAGUAUUGAACAGCACACUGGAGUUUUUGUCCAGAAGUUUGACUUUAGAAGAUAAGAAAUAACUGAGCGUAUUACAAGCAGGAGUUAGAGGAAGAGACUCAGUACAGAAGAGACAGGAACAAAAGUUCACCUCCAUUCAAUGGGAAAGGAUACAGAUCAAGAGUUCAGGAAAAGUAGGAGAAAGAAGCUCUAUUCCAGAAGCAGUCUGGAGCACAAAGAAUCCCUAAUCACUGACAUUAAGAAAGAAGAAAAAUAUUCCUAGGACGAUCCUGGAGAGCAAAGGUCAUCAGCAGUCACUUGACUUUCCUUGGAUUUCUCAACUGCAGUAGUCACAUGGUCUGCUGAAAAUGAAUUCUCUUUAUUUUCAUCUGAUUUCAAGGAAUUAUGGUUUUCAGUGAUUUCUUCAUUUGGAUCUAUUUUGAGACAGAGUAAUAGCAUUAAAACCCCCUUCUGAAUUAAUAAGGUAACAUGGGCUUAAAAUCACUCAAUUCACUAUUGGAUUCUUUGGAGCUGUUAAUCUGUUCAGUGAAAAGAACAAGAACUUUGGAACUCAAGAUUUAACUAUGGUUCCAUCACUGACCUUGGGCAUUUGUUGCUGAAACGCAAAGUGUGACAAGCCAAUGGAGUAUUUUAUGGGUGCAAAGGAAAUUAUAUGUCAAAAGCAAUGGAGAGAAAACAUUUGAGAAAAUGGAAGAAGUGCUGAGACACUGGAGUCUACCCUGAAAGAUAAAGCUUCACCUGAGGAGAUCUGCAAAUUAGUAGCUUUUUGCCAGAAGGCAUUCUCCAGUCUAUGCAGCUCAAGUAAUAGAAGGCUACAGCCUUGGUGGAAUGACUUGAGGGAACAGGGGACUGAGUCUAGGACCAUCAGAUCAGCCAAUAAAGAAAGAAGAGACACAGACAUGCAGAGAAAACACAGGGAAGAAGGCCACAUGGGAUGAAGGCAGAGAAGGGAAUGAUGCAGCUACAAGCCAGCUACAAGCCAAGGAAUGCCAUGGACUGCUGGCAACCACUAGAAAGAAGCUGGAAGAGGCAAGGAAGGAUUCUUCCGUGAUGCCUUCAGAGGAAAAUGGCCCUGCAAACACCUUGAUCUUGGACUUCUGACCUCCAGAACUAAGAGAAUACAUUUCUGUUGUUUUAAGUUAACCAGUUUGUGGCAAUUUGUUAC